AACGAACGCUGGCGGCAUGCCUAACACAUGCAAGUCGAACGAGACCUUCGGGUCUAGUGGCGCACGGGUGCGUAACGCGUGGGAACCUGCCCUUAGGUUCGGAAUAACUCCCCGAAAGGGGUGCUAAUACCGGAUAAUGUCUUCGGACCAAAGAUUUAUCGCCUUUGGAUGGGCCCGCGUUGGAUUAGCUAGUUGGUAGGGUAAAAGCCUACCAAGGCGACGAUCCAUAGCUGGUCUGAGAGGAUGAUCAGCCACACUGGGACUGAGACACGGCCCAGACUCCUACGGGAGGCAGCAGUGGGGAAUAUUACACAAUGGGCGAAAUCCUGAUCCAGCAAUGCCGCGUGAGUGAUGAAGUCCUUAGGGUUGUAAAUCUCUUUUACCCGGGAUGAUAAUGACAGUACCGGGAGAAUAAGCUCCGGCUAACUCCGUG
rnacentral:rRNA from 1 species